rnacentral:lncRNA from 1 species
GCUUUAUAUACUUUAAUUCAUUCAGUCCUCACAGCCACCUUUAGAGUAGGUAUUAUUGUUAUACUUACAGGGGAGGAGACUUGGCCAGAUCUCACUGCUAGUGACAGACACAGGAGGAAUUACAGCAACUAAUUACAUUCAGCAUGCUCAGGUACCAGGCAUAUGGCAACACACAGUGGGCAUAAAGGCAAUGCGUACCAGACACUUACAAGCCAGGCACUCUGCAUGCACUUGCCAUGGAUUGCUUUCAUUCUCAAAAUGAUGGCACAAUAGAAGCAUUAUUGCAACUCCCUUGUAUCUGAGAAAACUGAGGUCCAGGGAGGAUAAAUCACCCCCCACAUCAUAGAGGUAGGAAGGAUUUAGUUUUAUCUCUUCAUUCCUCCACAGCCUGGGGCCUGGAAUGAGAGCCCAGGGAGGAGAGCACAGGGCCUGGGACUGAUCUGCUCUGGAUUUCAGUGGAGUAGGAGUGGGCCAGAGGGGUUCAGUGCCUCAACACGGAUGAAGGAGGAGAACGUGCUGAGAUGGGGAAUAGUGAUUGUAUUUCUGAAAACCGACAGAGGAUGGGAAACUUGUCAUGGUCCUGCAUCAACGGUGCUGACAACUUUCUCCACGCUUGGGACCCCAGUCCUUUGAAUGUUGCUGAAGUUGAAUCUGUUCUCUUGUCAUCUACAUCUCCCUGCUGACUCAUUCUGGACCCACUUUGACUAAAACCCCCAGCAUUUUCAUACCAG